UACGUAGGGUCCGAGCGUUGUCCGGAAUUAUUGGGCGUAAAGGGCUCGUAGGCGGUUCGUCACGUCGGGAGUGAAAACUCGGAGCUCAACUCCGAGCCUGCUUCCGAUACGGGCAGACUAGAGGUAGGCAGGGGAGAGCGGACCUCCUGGUGUAGCGGUGGAAUGCGCAGAUAUCAGGAAGAACACCGGUGGCGAAGGCGGCUCUCUGGGCCUUACCUGACGCUGAGGAGCGAAAGCGUGGGUAGCGAACAGG
rnacentral:rRNA from 1 species